UACGUAGGGUGCAAGCGUUGUCCGGAAUUAUUGGGCGUAAAGAGCUCGUAGGCGGUCUGUCACGUCGGCUGUGAAAACCCGAGGCUCAACCUCGGGCCUGCAGUCGAUACGGGCAAACUAGAGUACUGCAGGGGAGACUGGAAUUCCUGGUGUAGCGGUGAAAUGCGCAGAUAUCAGGAGGAACACCGGUGGCGAAGGCGGGUCUCUGGGCCACUACUGACGCUGAGAAGCGAAAGCAUGGGGAGCGAACAGG
rnacentral:rRNA from 1 species